rnacentral:rRNA from 1 species
GAUGAACGCUGGCGGCGUGCUUAACACAUGCAAGUCGAACGGAAAGGCUCCUGCUUGCAGGGGUACUCGAGUGGCGAACGGGUGAGUAACACGUGGGUGAUCUGCCCUGCACUUCGGGAUAAGCCUGGGAAACUGGGUCUAAUACCGGAUAGGACUAUGGUUUGGAUGCGAUUGUGGAAAGUUUUUUCGGUGUGGGAUGAGCUCGCGGCUUAUAAGCUUGUUGGUGGGGUAAGGGCUUACCAAGGGGUGGAGGGGUAGCCGGCCUGAGAGGGUGUAGGGCCACAUUGGGACGGGGAUAGGGCCCAGACUCCUACGGGAGGCAGCGGGGGGGAAUAUUGCACAAUGGGGGCAACCCCGAUGAAGCGACGCCGCGUGGGGGAUGACGGCCUUCGGGUUGUAAACUCCUUUCGCUAGGGACGAAGCGCAAGUGACGGUACCUGGAGAAGAAGCACCGGCUAACUACGUG